rnacentral:tRNA from 3 species
UCGCCCUUAGUAUAAUGGCUAGUACUUCCGACUUCGAAUCGGCGAAAAUUGGUUCGAAUCCAAUAGGGCGUU